rnacentral:rRNA from 1 species
CCAAUGGACGAAAGUCUGAUGGAGCAAUGCCGCGUGAGUGAAGAAGGGUUUCGGCUCGUAAAACUCUGUUGUUAAAGAAGAACACCUUUGAGAGUAACUGUUCAAGGGUUGACGGUAUUUAACCAGAAAGCCACGGCUAACUACGUGCCAGCAGCCGCGGUAAUACGUAGGUGGCAAGCGUUGUCCGGAUUUAUUGGGCGUAAAGCGAGCGCAGGCGGUUUUUUAAGUCUGAUGUGAAAGCCUUCGGCUUAACCGGAGAAGUGCAUCGGAAACUGGGAGACUUGAGUGCAGAAGAGGACAGUGGAACUCCAUGUGUAGCGGUGGAAUGCGUAGAUAUAUGGAAGAACACCAGUGGCGAAGGCGGCUGUCUAGUCUGUAACUGACGCUGAGGCUCGAAAGCAUGGGUAGCGAACAGGAUUAGAUACCCUGGUAGUCCAUGCCGUAAACGAUGAGUGCUAAGUGUUGGAGGGUUUCCGCCCUUCAGUGCUGCAGCUAACGCAUUAAGCACUCCGCCUGGGGAGUACGACCGCAAGGUUGAAACUCAAAGGAAUUGACGGGGGCCCGCACAAGCGGUGGAGCAUGUGGUUUAAUUCGAAGCUACGCGAAGAACCUUACCAGGUCUUGACAUCUUCUGCCAAUCUUAGAGAUAAGACGUUCCCUUCGGGGACAGAAUGACAGGUGGUGCAUGGUUGUCGUCAGCUCGUGUCGUGAGAUGUUGGGUUAAGUCCCGCAACGAGCGCAACCCUUAUUAUCAGUUGCCAGCAUUCAGUUGGGCACUCUGGUGAGACUGCCGGUGACAAACCGGAGGAAGGUGGGGAUGACGUCAAAUCAUCAUGCCCCUUAUGACCUGGGCUACACACGUGCUACAAUGGACGGUACAACGAGUUGCGAAGUCGUGAGGCUAAGCUAAUCUCUUAAAGCCGUUCUCAGUUCGGAUUGUAGGCUGCAACUCGCCUACAUGAAGUUGGAAUCGCUAGUAAUCGCGGAUCAGCAUGCCGCGGUGAAUACGUUCCCGGGCCUUGUACACACCGCCCGUCACACCAUGAGAGUUUGUAACACCCAAAGCCGGUGAG